CAGUGGGGAAUAUUGCACAAUGGGGGAAACCCUGAUGCAGCCAUGCCGCGUGUGUGAAGAAGGCCUUCGGGUUGUAAAGCACUUUCAGCGAGGAGGAAAGGUUGAUACCUAAUACGUAUCAGCUGUGACGUUACUCGCAGAAGAAGCACCGGCUAACUCCGUGCCAGCAGCCGCGGUAAUACGGAGGGUGCAAGCGUUAAUCGGAAUUACUGGGCGUAAAGCGCACGCAGGCGGUUGGAUAAGUUAGAUGUGAAAGCCCCGGGCUCAACCUGGGAAUUGCAUUUAAAACUGUCCAGCUAGAGUCUUGUAGAGGGGGGUAGAAUUCCAGGUGUAGCGGUGAAAUGCGUAGAGAUCUGGAGGAAUACCGGUGGCGAAGGCGGCCCCCUGGACAAAGACUGACGCUCAGGUGCGAAAGCGUGGGGAGCAAACAGGAUUAGA
rnacentral:rRNA from 1 species